CCGGAUCUCAGAUCAAGCAAGCAGGACCCGCGAAUUUAUACAUAUAAUUAAGCAGANGAAAAGANACUAACUAGGAUUCUCUCAGUAAUGGCAAA
rnacentral:rRNA from 1 species